rnacentral:rRNA from 1 species
UACGGAGGGUGCGAGCGUUGUCCGGAAUCAUUGGGCGUAAAGGGCGCGUAGGUGGCCCGGUCAGUCUUUGGUGAAAGCGCGGGGCUCAACCCUGCGUCGGCCAGGGAUACUGCCGCGGCUCGAGCACUGUAGAGGCAGGCGGAAUUCCGGGUGUAGCGGUGGAAUGCGUAGAGAUCCGGAAGAACACCGGUGGCGAAGGCGGCCUGCUGGGCAGUGGCUGGACACUGAGGCGCGACAGCGUGGGGAGCGAACAGG